GACGUAGGGCGCGAGCGUUGUCCGGAUUUAUUGGGCGUAAAGAGCUCGUAGGCGGUUUGUCGCGUCUGCUGUGAAAACUCGGGGCUUAACUCCGGGCCUGCAGUGGGUACGGGCAGACUAGAGUGCGGUAGGGGAGACUGGAAUUCCUGGUGUAGCGGUGAAAUGCGCAGAUAUCAGGAGGAACACCGAUGGCGAAGGCAGGUCUCUGGGCCACUACUGACGCUGAGAAGCGAAAGCGUGGGGAGCGAACAGG
rnacentral:rRNA from 1 species